CAGGUCAUUGGCUUACCUCCUACCUCAACAUUAGGGCUAAGCCAUUAAUAGCUACUUCAGAUUGGCUCAUUUAGAAAGAGAGGUGCAACAUGAUAUUCAGGGAUUGGAAGCCACCGUCUCAAUACAAUAAUUUCUCGAGCCUGGUCCUUGUGCACUGAUCUUCACAACUCCUCAACCAAAUUAUUCAAGGAGAGCCGAUAGCAACCAUGUGGACUCUCUCUUGAAGUGCAACGCUUUCAGUAAGAGCCCUUCUUGGAUUUAACUUGGCACCCAUGUGAGGCAGGACUUGGUCAGUCCAUUCCCUGAAAUCACAGCAGUUAACUUUGCACUCCAUGUCCGGGUGUUCACAGCUGAUCUCCAAUAAUUUCAACCCACAUCGCCUGACACCUCUCUGAAGAACUAUGCUCUUUGAAAUCAAAACUAAAGACCCUCCCAGAUAUCAGCGCUGCCAUCAUCCCCAGAGAAGACAACGUCAUCGCUGAUGAGCUCGCAAAACAUGGCAAACACCUUCACGGUCUUUCCCUCUUCUUUCAGGGAAUGGACUGACCGACCAUCUUGGCUUGAUGACCUUUGCCUUCUUCACAACUUUUCCUUCAUUGUUUAGUUUCUCUUUUAGCAUCUCUUUGCUGUUUGAUUAAAAAGAA